rnacentral:rRNA from 1 species
AACGAACGCUGGCGGCAUGCCUAAUACAUGCAAGUCGAACGAGAUCUUCGGAUCUAGUGGCGCACGGGUGCGUAACGCGUGGGAAUCUGCCCUUGGGUUCGGAAUAACAUCUGGAAACGGAUGCUAAUACCGGAUGAUGACGUAAGUCCAAAGAUUUAUCGCCCAAGGAUGAGCCCGCGUAGGAUUAGCUAGUUGGUGAGGUAAAGGCUCACUAAGGCUACGAUCCUUAGCUGGUCUGAGAGGAUGAUCAGCCACACUGGGACUGAGACACGGCCCAGACUCCUACGGGAGGCAGCAGUAGGGAAUAUUGGACAAUGGGGGCAACCCUGAUCCAGCAAUGCCGCGUGAGUGAUGAAGGCCUUAGGGUUGUAAAGCUCUUUUACCCGAGAUGAUAAUGACAGUAUCGGGAGAAUAAGCUCCGGCUAACUCCGUGCCAGCAGCCGCGGUAAUACGGAGGGAGCUAGCGUUGUUCGGAAUUACUGGGCGUAAAGCGCACGUAGGCGGUUAUUUAAGUCAGAGGUGAAAGCCCGGGGCUCAACCCCGGAACUGCCUUUGAGACUGGAUAACUUGAAUCCAGGAGAGGUGAGUGGAAUUCCGAGUGUAGAGGUGAAAUUCGUAGAUAUUCGGAAGAACACCAGUGGCGAAGGCGGCUCACUGGACUGGUAUUGACGCUGAGGUGCGA